GUGAUGCCACCUCAGUUCAAAAAGGAUUUGGAUUCAUAUCUUAAAACUCGAUCUCCUGUCACUUUUCUGUCGGAUCUUCGCAGUAACCUACAGGUAUCUAACGAACCUGGCAAUCGCUACAACCUCCAGCUUAUCAAUGCACUGGUGCUCUAUGUAGGGACUCAGGCCAUCGCACACAUCCACAACAAGGGCAGCACGCCAUCAAUGAGCACCAUCACCCACUCGGCA